AUACGGAGGAUGCAAGCGUUAUCCGGAUUUAUUGGGUUUAAAGGGUGCGCAGGCGGACUAUUAAGUCAGUUGUGAAAGCCUACAGCUCAACUGUAGAACUGCCGUUGAUACUGAUAUUCUUGAGUUUUGUUGAGGUAGGCGGAAUGUGUCAUGUAGCGGUGAAAUGCUUAGAUAUGACAAGGAACACCGAUCGCGAAGGCAGCUUACCAAGCAAAUACUGACGCUCAUGCACGAAAGCGUGGGGAUCAAACAGGAUUAGAUACCCUGGUAGUCCACGCUGUAAACGAUGAUCACUAGAUGUUGGCGAUAAACAGUCAGCGUCCAAGCGAAAGUAAUAAGUGAUCCACCUGGGGAGUACGUUCGCAAGAAUGAA
rnacentral:rRNA from 1 species